GCUCUGGUAGUCUAGUGGUUAGAGCAUCUGCCUCGGAUGUGGGAGGUUGUGGGUUCGAACCCUGGCUGAGACA